AUUGAACGCUGGCGGCAGGCCUAACACAUGCAAGUCGAGCGAGCGGCGGUCGGGUGAGUAUUGCUAAGGACUCUGCCUCGUAGUGGGGGAUAACGUCCGGAAACGGGCGCUAAUACCGCAUACCAUCAGAUGUACCCAGAGGGGACUAGCUAGUAGGUGGUGUAAUGGCUCACCUAGGCGACGAUCCCUAGCUGGUCUGAGUGGAUGACCAGCCACACUGGAACUGAGACACGUUCCAGUCUCCUACGGUAGGCAGCAGUGGGGAAUAUUGCACAAUGGGGGCAAGCCUGAUGCAGCCAUGCCGCGUGUGUGAAGAAGGCCUUCGGGUUGUAAAGCACUUUCAGCGAGGAGGCGUUACUCGCAGAAGAAGCAACGGCUAACUCCGUGCCAGCAGCCGCGGUAAUAC
rnacentral:rRNA from 1 species